rnacentral:rRNA from 1 species
UAGGGAAUCUUCGGCAAUGGGGGGAACCCUGACCGAGCAACGCCGCGUGAGUGAAGAAGGUUUUCGGAUCGUAAAGCUCUGUUGUUAAGGAAGAACGAGUGUGAGAAUGGAAAGUUCAUGCUGUGACGGUACUUAACCAGAAAGGGACGGCUAACUACGUGCCAGCAGCCGCGGUAAUACGUAGGUCCCGAGCGUUGUCCGGAUUUAUUGGGCGUAAGGCGAGCGCAGGCGGUUAGAAAAGUCUGAAGUGAAAGGCAGUGGCUCAACCAUUGUAGGCUUUGGAAACUGUUUAACUUGAGUGCAGAAGGGGAGAGUGGAAUUCCAUGUGUAGCGGUGAAAUGCGUAGAUAUAUGGAGGAACACCGGUGGCGAAGGCGACUCUCUGGUCUGUAACUGACGCUGAGGCUCGAAAGCGUGGGUAGCAAACAGG